rnacentral:rRNA from 1 species
GAUGAGCGCUGGCGGCGUGCCUAAUACAUGCAAGUCGAGCGAACGGACGAGAAGCUUGCUUCUCUGAUGUUAGCGGCGGACGGGUGAGUAACACGUGGAUAACCUACCUAUAAGACUGGGAUAACUUCGGGAAACCGGAGCUAAUACCGGAUAAUAUUUUGAACCGCAUGGUUCAAAAGUGAAAGACGGUCUUGCUGUCACUUAUAGAUGGAUCCGCGCUGCAUUAGCUAGUUGGUAAGGUAACGGCUUACCAAGGCAACGAUGCAUAGCCGACCUGAGAGGGUGAUCGGCCACACUGGAACUGAGACACGGUCCAGACUCCUACGGGAGGCAGCAGUAGGGAAUCUUCCGCAAUGGGCGAAAGCCUGACGGAGCAACGCCGCGUGAGUGAUGAAGGUCUUCGGAUCGUAAAACUCUGUUAUUAGGGAAGAACAUAUGUGUAAGUAACUGUGCACAUCUUGACGGUACCUAAUCAGAAAGCCACGGCUAACUACGUGCCAGCAGCCGCGGUAAUACGUAGGUGGCAAGCGUUAUCCGGAAUUAUUGGGCGUAAAGCGCGCGUAGGCGGUUUUUUAAGUCUGAUGUGAAAGCCCACGGCUCAACCGUGGAGGGUCAUUGGAAACUGGAAAACUUGAGUGCAGAAGAGGAAAGUGGAAUUCCAUGUGUAGCGGUGAAAUGCGCAGAGAUAUGGAGGAACACCAGUGGCGAAGGCGACUUUCUGGUCUGUAACUGACGCUGAUGUGCGAAAGCGUGGGGAUCAAACAGGAUUAGAUACCCUGGUAGUCCACGCCGUAAACGAUGAGUGCUAAGUGUUAGGGGGUUUCCGCCCCUUAGUGCUGCAGCUAACGCAUUAAGCACUCCGCCUGGGGAGUACGACCGCAAGGUUGAAACUCAAAGGAAUUGACGGGGACCCGCACAAGCGGUGGAGCAUGUGGUUUAAUUCGAAGCAACGCGAAGAACCUUACCAAAUCUUGACAUCCUUUGACAACUCUAGAGAUAGAGCUUUCCCCUUCGGGGGACAAAGUGACAGGUGGUGCAUGGUUGUCGUCAGCUCGUGUCGUGAGAUGUUGGGUUAAGUCCCGCAACGAGCGCAACCCUUAAGCUUAGUUGCCAUCAUUAAGUUGGGCACUCUAAGUUGACUGCCGGUGACAAACCGGAGGAAGGUGGGGAUGACGUCAAAUCAUCAUGCCCCUUAUGAUUUGGGCUACACGCGUGCUACAAUGGACAAUACAAAGGGCAGCGAAACCGCGAGGUCAAGCAAAUCCCAUAAAGUUGUUCUCAGUUCGGAUUGUAGUCUGCAACUCGACUACAUGAAGCUGGAAUCGCUAGUAAUCGUAGAUCAGCAUGCUACGGUGAAUACGUUCCCGGGUCU